rnacentral:rRNA from 1 species
GUAGGUGGCAAGCGUUGUCCGGAAUUAUUGGGGCGUAAAGCGCGCGCAGGCGGUUCUUUAAGUCUGAUGUGAAAGCCCACGGGCUCAACCGUGGAGAGUCAUUGGAAACUGGAGAACUUGAGUACAGAAGAGGAAAGCGGAAUUCCACGUGUAGCGGUGAAAUGCGUAGAGAUGUGGAGGAACACCAGUGGCGAAGGCGGCUUUCUGGUCUGUAACUGACGCUGAGGCGCGAAAGCGUGGGGAGCAAACAGGAUUAGAUACCCUGGUAGUCCACGCCGUAAACGAUGAGUGCUAAGUGUUAGGGGGUUUCCGCCCCUUAGUGCUGCAGCUAACGCAUUAAGCACUCCGCCUGGGGAGUACGGCCGCAAAGGCUG